GGCAAGAUGGCCGAGCGGUCCAAGGCGUGUGACUCAAGCGAAAGCUUGCCUGUGAUAAGCAGGUUUCUCAUCCGUGUAUGCGGGCGUGGGUUCGAAUCCCACUCUUGUCA
rnacentral:tRNA from 1 species